ensembl:snoRNA small nucleolar RNA SNORD10
GCUCUGUGAUGAACCCCAUGCGUGUCAUCUGAGCCCAGCUUCCCUGUUGCCUUAGCCCAGGUAGUGUUCUACUUACCAGGACUAUUUUCUGGCCUGGCAGGGAGGCCUUAGGCAAAGGAUCAAUCCUUAUAUUCUGAGAGC